AUUGAACGCUGGCGGCAGGCCUAACACAUGCAAGUCGAGCGAGCGGCGGACGGGUGAGUAAUGUCUGGGAAACUGCCUGCUGGAGGGGGAUAACUACUGGAAACGGUAGCUAAUACCGCAUACCAUCAGAUGUGCCCAGAUGGGCUUAGCUAGUAGGUGGGGUAACGGCUCACCUAGGCGACGAUCCCUAGCUGGUCUGAGAGGAUGACCAGCCACACGGGAAUGGAGACACGGUCCAGACUCCGCCGGGAGGCGGCAGUGGGGAAUAUUGCACAAGGGGCGCAAGCCGGAUGCAGCCAUGCCGCGUGUAGGAAGAAGGCCUUCGGUUUGUAAAGUACUUUCAGCGGGGAGGCGUUACCCGCAGAAGAAGCACCGGCUAACUCCGUGCCAGCAGCCGCGGUAAUAC
rnacentral:rRNA from 1 species